rnacentral:lncRNA from 1 species
CAUUUAUUUUCGUGGGUACCAAUUUUCGUUGACUGAGGAAAACUUACAUGUUCGUGGAUAUUUGAUUUCGUGGUUUUGCCGAAGUAUGCAUACAAGCUUAUGGAAAAUUUGGUAUUCGUUGAACAUUUAAUUUCGUGGUUCACCUGUUCCCACGAAAUCCACGAAAAUUGGUAUCCAACGAAUAAUAAUGAAUCCACAGUA